GCCGAUGUGACCCAAUUGGCAGAGGUGGUUGAUUCAAAAUCAGCAUGUUGUGGGUUCGAAUCCCACCAUCGGCA
rnacentral:tRNA from 4 species